rnacentral:rRNA from 1 species
GACGAACGCUGGCGGCGUGCCUAAUACAUGCAAGUCGAACGCACGAAGUUGAAGAGCUUGCUCUUUAACCAAGUGAGUGGCGGACGGGUGAGUAACACGUGGGUAACCUGCCCAUUAGAGGGGGAUAACAUUCGGAAACGGAUGCUAAUACCGCAUAGUUUCAGGAAUCGCAUGAUUCUUGAAGGAAAGGUGGCUUCGGCUACCACUAAUGGAUGGACCCGCGGCGUAUUAGCUAGUUGGUGAGGUAAUGGCUCACCAAGGCAAUGAUACGUAGCCGACCUGAGAGGGUGAUCGGCAACGCUGGGACUGAGACACGGCCCAGACUCCUACGGGAGGCAGCAGUAGGGAAUCUUCCGCAAUGGACGGAAGUCUGACGGAGCAACGCCGCGUGAGUGAAGAAGGUUUUCGGAUCGUAAAACUCUGUUGUUAAAGAAGAACAAGGAUGAGAGUAACUGCUCAUCCCCUGACGGUAUUUAACCAGAAAGCCACGGCUAACUACGCGCCAGCCGCCGCAGUAA